rnacentral:rRNA from 1 species
GACGAACGCUGGCGGCGUGCUUAACACAUGCAAGUCGAACGGAAAGGCCCUGCUUUUGUGGGGUGCUAGAGUGGCGAACGGGUGAGUAACACGUGAGUAACCUGCCCUUGACUUUGGGAUAACUUCAGGAAACUGGGGCUAAUACCGGAUAGGAGCUCCUGCUGCAUGGUGGGGGUUGGAAAGUUUCGGCGGUUGGGGAUGGACUCGCGGCUUAUCAGCUUGUUGGUGGGGUAGUGGCUUACCAAGGCUUUGACGGGUAGCCGGCCUGAGAGGGUGACCGGCCACAUUGGGACUGGGAUACGGCCCAGACUCCUACGGGAGGCAGCAGUGGGGAAUAUUGCACAAUGGGCGGAAGCCUGAUGCAGCAACGCCGCGUGCGGGAUGACGGCCUUCGGGUUGUAAACCGCUUUCGCCUGUGACGAAGCGUGAGUGACGGUAAUGGGUAAAGAAGCACCGGCUAACUACGUG